GAACGGUCGGCGGGCGAUCCGCGUCGGUCGUGCGAGGGUGGUAUGGUUCCCCCAGAGGCCGGUUCUUGUGCUGCCUACCCCUUCAGGGGAAUCGGGCCACUUGAUGUAAGCCUCCAUCCGGCGCCUUCCAACGGGCGCAGGAGGACAACAGGGCACCCCCCGCGUUCCACCGAUCCUCCUUGGUCGCGUGGCCCGCGGGGACGUGCGACGCUCUCGGACCCAGCGAACGCCGUGGGCGAGGACUCACGUCCCAGUCCCGAAAAGAAGCUCCGAUAUAAUGCAAGACGGCCGCUCCCGCCCCCCCGGGGGCGAGGCGCGGCGUCGCAGAGGAAUG
rnacentral:misc_RNA from 1 species